UGACUGAGUAUCUUUUGUUUAAUGGGUCAGCGACUUAUAUUCUGUAGCUAGGUUAUCCGAAUAGGGGAGCCGGAGGGAAACCGAGUCUUAAUUGGGCGUUAAGUUGCUGGGUAUAGACCCGAAACCCGGUGAUCUAGCCAUGGGCAGGUUGAAGGUUGGGUAACACUAACUGGAGGACCGAACCGACUAAUGUUGAAAAAUUAGCGGAUGACCUGUGGCUGGGGGUGAAAGGCCAAUCAAACCGGGAGAUAGCUGGUUCUCCCCGAAAGCUAUUUAGGUAGCGCCUCGUGAAUUCAUCUCCGGGGGUAGAGCACUGUUUCGGCUAGGGGGCCAUCCCGGCUUACCAACCCGAUGCAAACUGCGAAUACCGGAGAAUGUUAUCACGGGAGCCACACGGCGGGUGCUAACGUCCGUCGUG
rnacentral:rRNA from 1 species